rnacentral:snoRNA from 1 species
GGAGAUUUGCUUAUUAUUGCUAUUCAAACAUUAGGAAGCCAGAGCUUAAACUAGGGAUCAUAAUGCUGGUAGUGUUCUCUUUAGGAUAUAAUUACCACUGACCAACUUCCAAAUUCCCAUGUUAAA